UAGCAUAUCAGAAGGCACACCCGGAGAACUGAAACAUCUUAGUACCCGGAGGAAGAAAAAGAAAAUUCGAUUCCCUUAGUAGCGGCGAGCGAAACGGGAAGAGCCCAAACCAACAAGCUUGCUUGUUGGGGUUGUAGGACACUCUAUACGGAGUUACAAAGGACGACAUUAGACGAAUCAUCUGGAAAGAUGAAUCAAAGAAGGUAAUAAUCCUGUAGUCGAAAAUGUUGUCUCUCUUGAGUGGAUCCUGAGUACGACGGAACACGUGAAAUUCCGUCGGAAUCUGGGAGGACCAUCUCCUAAGGCUAAAUACUCUCUAGUGACCGAUAGUGAACCAGUACCGUGAGGGAAAGGUGAAAAGCACCCCGGAAGGGGAGUGAAAUAGAACCUGAAACCGUGUGCUUACAAGUAGUCAGAGCCCGUUAAUGGGUGAUGGCGUGCCUUUUGUAGAAUGAACCGGCGAGUUACGAUUUGAUGCAAGGUUAAGCAGUAAAUGUGGAGCCGUAGCGAAAGCGAGUCUGAAUAGGGCGUUUAGUAUUUGGUCGUAGACCCGAAACCAGGUGAUCUACCCUUGGUCAGGUUGAAGUUCAGGUAACACUGAAUGGAGGACCGAACCGACUUACGUUGAAAAGUGAGCGGAUGAACUGAGGGUAGCGGAGAAAUUCCAAUCGAACCUGGAGAUAGCUGGUUCUCUCCGAAAUAGCUUUAGGGCUAGCCUCAAGUGAUGAUUAUUGGAGGUAGAGCACUGUUUGGACGAGGGGCCCCUCUCGGGUUACCGAAUUCAGACAAACUCCGAAUGCCAAUUAAUUUAACUUGGGAGUCAGAACAUGGGUGAUAAGGUCCGUGUUCGAAAGGGAAACAGCCCAGACCACCAGCUAAGGUCCCAAAAUAUAUGUUAAGUGGAAAAGGAUGUGGCGUUGCCCAGACAACUAGGAUGUUGGCUUAGAAGCAGCCAUCAUUUAAAGAGUGCGUAAUAGCUCACUAGUCGAGUGACACUGCGCCGAAAAUGUACCGGGGCUAAACAUAUUACCGAAGCUGUGGAUUGUCCUUUGGACAAUGGUAGGAGAGCGUUCUAAGGGCGUUGAAGCAUGAUCGUAAGGACAUGUGGAGCGCUUAGAAGUGAGAAUGCCGGUGUGAGUAGCGAAAGACGGGUGAGAAUCCCGUCCACCGAUUGACUAAGGUUUCCAGAGGAAGGCUCGUCCGCUCUGGGUUAGUCGGGUCCUAAGCUGAGGCCGACAGGCGUAGGCGAUGGAUAACAGGUUGAUAUUCCUGUACCACCUAUAAUCGUUUUAAUCGAUGGGGGGACGCAGUAGGAUAGGCGAAGCGUGCGAUUGGAUUGCACGUCUAAGCAGUAAGGCUGAGUAUUAGGCAAAUCCGGUACUCGUUAAGGCUGAGCUGUGAUGGGGAGAAGACAUUGAGUCUUCGAGUCGUUGAUUUCACACUGCCGAGAAAAGCCUCUAGAUAGAAAAUAGGUGCCCGUACCGCAAACCGACACAGGUAGUCAAGAUGAGAAUUCUAAGGUGAGCGAGCGAACUCUCGUUAAGGAACUCGGCAAAAUGACCCCGUAACUUCGGGAGAAGGGGUGCUCUUUAGGGUUAACGCCCAGAAGAGCCGCAGUGAAUAGGCCCAAGCGACUGUUUAUCAAAAACACAGGUCUCUGCUAAACCGUAAGGUGAUGUAUAGGGGCUGACGCCUGCCCGGUGCUGGAAGGUUAAGAGGAGUGGUUAGCUUCUGCGAAGCUACGAAUCGAAGCCCCAGUAAACGGCGGCCGUAACUAUAACGGUCCUAAGGUAGCGAAAUUCCUUGUCGGGUAAGUUCCGACCCGCACGAAAGGCGUAACGAUUUGGGCACUGUCUCAACGAGAGACUCGGUGAAAUCAUAGUACCUGUGAAGAUGCAGGUUACCCGCGACAGGACGGAAAGACCCCGUGGAGCUUUACUGUAGCCUGAUAUUGAAAUUCGGCACAGCUUGUACAGGAUAGGUAGGAGCCUUUGAAACGUGAGCGCUAGCUUACGUGGAGGCGCUGGUGGGAUACUACCCUAGCUGUGUUGGCUUUCUAACCCGCACCACUUAUCGUGGUGGGAGACAGUGUCAGGCGGGCAGUUUGACUGGGGCGGUCGCCUCCUAAAAGGUAACGGAGGCGCUCAAAGGUUCCCUCAGAAUGGUUGGAAAUCAUUCAUAGAGUGUAAAGGCAUAAGGGAGCUUGACUGCGAGACCUACAAGUCGAGCAGGGUCGAAAGACGGACUUAGUGAUCCGGUGGUUCCGCAUGGAAGGGCCAUCGCUCAACGGAUAAAAGCUACCCCGGGGAUAACAGGCUUAUCUCCCCCAAGAGUUCACAUCGACGGGGAGGUUUGGCACCUCGAUGUCGGCUCAUCGCAUCCUGGGGCUGUAGUCGGUCCCAAGGGUUGGGCUGUUCGCCCAUUAAAGCGGUACGCGAGCUGGGUUCAGAACGUCGUGAGACAGUUCGGUCCCUAUCCGUCGUGGGCGUAGGAAAUUUGAGAGGAGCUGUCCUUAGUACGAGAGGACCGGGAUGGACAUACCUCUGGUGUACCAGUUGUCGUGCCAACGGCAUAGCUGGGUAGCUAUGUGUGGACGGGAUAAGUGCUGAAAGCAUCUAAGCAUGAAGCCCCCCUCAAGAUGAGAUUUCCCAACUUCGGUUAUAAGAUCCCUCAAAGAUGAUGAGGUUAAUAGGUUCGAGGUGGAAGCAUGGUGACAUGUGGAGCUGACGAAUACUAAUCGAUCGAAGACUUAAUCAA
rnacentral:rRNA from 2 species